UACGUAGGGUGCGAGCGUUAAUCGGAAUUACUGGGCGUAAAGCGUGCGCAGGCGGUUUUGUAAGCCAGAUGUGAAAUCCCCGGGCUUAACCUGGGAAUGGCAUUUGGGACUGCAAGGCUUGAGUGCGGCAGAGGAGACUGGAAUUCCUGGUGUAGCAGUGAAAUGCGUAGAUAUCAGGAGGAACACCGAUGGCGAAGGCAAGUCUCUGGGCUGACACUGACGCUCAUGCACGAAAGCGUGGGGAGCAAACAGG
rnacentral:rRNA from 1 species